GGGGAAUAUUGGGCAAUGGACGCAAGUCUGACCAAGCAACGCCGCGUGAAGGAAGAAGGCUUUCGGGUUGUAAACUUCUUUUAAGGGGGAAGAGUAGAAGACGGUACCCCUUGAAUAAGCCACGGCUAACUACGUGCCAGCAGCCGCGGUAAUACGUAGGGUGGCGAGCGUUGUCCGGAAUUACUGGGUGUAAAGGGAGCGUAGGCGGGAAUGCAAGUUGAAUGUCAAAUCUAUCGGCUCAACCGAUAGCCGCGUUCAAAACUGCAUUUCUUGAGUGAAGUAGAGGUUGGCGGAAUUCCUAGUGUAGCGGUGAAAUGCGUAGAUAUUAGGAGGAACACCGGUGGCGAAGGCGGCUUGCUGGACAAAUACUGACGCUGAGGUGCGAAAGCGUGGGGAGCAAACA
rnacentral:rRNA from 1 species